UGGGGAAUAUUGGACAAUGGGCGAAAGCCUGAUCCAGCCAUGCCGCGUGUGUGAAGAAGGUCUUCGGAUUGUAAAGCACUUUAAGUUGGGAGGAAGGGCAGUAAGCGAAUACCUUGCUGUUUUGACGUUACCGACAGAAUAAGCACCGGCUAACUCUGUGCCAGCAGCCGCGGUAAUACAGAGGGUGCAAGCGUUAAUCGGAAUUACUGGGCGUAAAGCGCGCGUAGGUGGUCCGUUAAGUUGAAUGUGAAAGCCCCGGGCUCAACCUGGGAACGGCGUCCAAAACUGGCUAGCUAGAGUAGACCAGAGGGUGGUGGAAUUUCCUGUGUAGCGGUGAAAUGCGUGGCUAUAGGAAGGAACCCCAGUAGCGAAGGCGACCACCUGGGCUCAUACUGACACAGAGAUGCGAAAGCGUGAGGGGCAAACAGG
rnacentral:rRNA from 1 species